AGGCUAGGCGCGGGCCUCCAGGCUCCCCAGGGUGCGACCUGAAACCGUGGCCUCCGAGAGUCGAUCAGUAGUAGGGCAGAAGAGAGCGCCAGAGGCCAGCGGCUCUGGACCGAGCAACUCUAGUCGUGGGGACGGGCGGCCGAACGGAAUGAGGCUUGGGGGAGGCUGGUCUGAGUGACAGGCUGGGGGCGUGGCCCGUGAGACCCGGAAGCGUGCGAGGCGUGAGUGGGGGUGCCCGGCCUUGGGCGACUAGCAGUAUACCCAGCACUCCGAGCUGUGGGCCCGCAGGUCCAAGCGUGCGGCCGCGCGUCUGGGUGGGGCAGCGGCGCGGGCGGGCCAAGCCUGGGGACUUCCAGCAGCUGUGGGAACUGGUGGAAGAGCACGUUCCGCUCCCGGAGCGGCCCGAAGUGAAGAGGAUUCUAGGGGAGACGACAGUGGAUCUGAGCCUGGAGCUACGGGCAGAGGUGGGGCGUAGGAAGGUGAGCCCCAAGGCAGACCUGUCCCAGGACUCGAAUGAUUUUCUCACCUUCUACGGGUCCCUAGCCCUGCCCAGUAACUCUCGAGCUCUUGUCGGAUCCCAUUGUCCGCCCAACCCUCUCCAGUUUUAACUGCCCUGCCCCUCAUUCCCCCAGCUCCCCUGCCUCCCUUCACUUCCCUCCGCAGUCGCCGAGGUGCCCUGGCUGUCCUUGCAGGUAGUGAUGUUACGAUCAUUGCUCCAAGAGGCUCCAUCUAUCCAAGCCUCUGGAUAGCGCCCCAUCUCUGACCUCUCCUCCCUUCUGGCACCACCGCCCCUCCUAAGAGAUCUUGUGCGCCAGGAACUGUGGCAGCUGCUCCAAGGUCUCCACUGGAAGGCCAUCUGUGAGGGCAGGUUGGAGCUCCAGACCUGGGUAUGGGCCCUGUCUCCAGAACUCAGAUGGGCUAGCCUGGCAACUGACAAGGGUCCAGGAUCACCUUUCCUGUGGUUCCCUGGAAGGAUCCCCUCAGUUGCCUUUAUGCAUCUUCUGCAGGGACUAGACCCACGUUUGGGUCCAGUAUAGCCCCAGGGUCCUGCACUUUGCCUUGGAGGAGCCCAGGCCUGAUGUGCCAGAACAGGAGAUGUUCCAGAUGAGAGCUGGUGAACCCAGGUGUAGUAGGAGGAGAGGAGGGAUCUGUCCUUGCUGGGCGAAGGACCCCAGCCAGCUGGUAGGUCCCACCUGUGGGCGUGGAGGAAUUCCUGGUCUGGGACUGACGCUUCUACAGCCACCUGUGGUAGAGGUCAGCCCAUGAGGGCUUCAGAGACCCAGGAAGCACGUGCCAGUCCUGGGAGCUUGGUUCCAGCUGGGUUUUAGAGUACAAGCAACAGACUUCCAGACAGAAACAAAGAGCAGCGCUUUGCAGGGAGACGGAGAAGGACAUGCAGAUAGGAGUGGAAGGAGAGACUUCACCCAGCGGCCGGUUGUCCCGCAGGCUGGGAUAGCCAGGCUGCGAGGACUGGGUUAGAGAGGGCUAGGGACUGAACGAAAUAAAUGAGCAGCAGCAUGUUCAUCCGUGAAUGGUAGCAACUUAUUUCUCACACAUCCUUAUGAAAGGGGUGAUGGCCCCAUUUUGCAGAUGAUACUAAAGCUCAGAAGGGAUGAUUGACUUUCCCAAACUCACACAUAGUAAAGGGUUGUAGAACCCAUGUGCAAUCCCAGGCUCCAGAUCUCCUCCUUUUACUACCAUCUUGUGUUGCCUUUGUGAGAAAGCACAAAAUUGUCUAGGAGAAAUGGUGUUUGUGUCCUGAAGGCCUGGGGUGAAGCAGCAUGGGAGAGUGAGGUUGACUUCAUCUGCCAGCAGCUGUCACCAGGACCUCAGCGUCAUCAAGGACCAGCUGAAUGUGUACCACAUUGACCAGCCUUCUGGACACGUGCAGUGAGGCCCCCAAGGCCGUCCUGGAGGAAGAGUGCCAUGCUCUGAAGAGGGAGAUUCCCAUCCUGCAGGUGAGCUGCAGUCCUUGGCCGCCCCGCCCUCAGCCCUUCUGCUGAGCGUAGACACCCCCGUUUCUCACCCAGGGCGUGAGAUCCACACACCUGCAGAGGCUGUGUGAACCCUGGGUCCAUUUUUCCUGUAUGCACACUUAUGUGUGUGAUCCUUAAGUACAUGAACCCAUAUUCCAGUUGAGUCCCUAAGUCCAAGGUCAGCACUUUUAGAUCAGCUGCUGGGUCUGCCUAGGUCUUUUGCCUCCUUCUCUUCCCUAAGUCUGGGUUCAGGCCUGCCACCCUCUUGCCAAGCUCAGCUUUUCAGGGAGAGGCUGGUGUUCCUCUCAGGAUUGCCCCCAGGUGAUUGGGAGGAAGGGACUGCACGGGCUGGUUCCUGUGCCCCACCAUGGGGAUCCUGGCCUGGGCAUCCUGCCGUAAAGCCAGGCACUGAGCCAGCUCUCCCUGCAGCGCUGCCUGGAAGAUGAGUAUUCAGGGGCCCCCUGGCCCUCUGAGGCAAGCCUAGAGCCCACCCUGGCAGAGCUAAAGGAACAGAAGGCAGCCAGGCAACAGGAGCUGCAGGCACCCCUGAGGCCUUCCUGUGUCUCCCCCAGCCACAGGCCACAGCCCUUGGGGUCCUCCAGUCAGGGCACUGGACUUCUGCCUUGCCUCCACAGGGCUGCUGGAGUUUGGGCUAGGCUUCUCCAGCGCUGCCUGCCUGCUCCCCUCUGGAGUGCUGCCCCAAACCUCGCGGCCUGGCCGCCACCUGCCGCUGGGAACAGAAGAUUCAGUGCCGCCCCGGGAAAAGGCCAGCUUCUACUCUGACGUCCAGUGCAGCGCCCCAGGCUCCAACCUGAAGGGCUCCUCAGGAAGGAGGCUUCAGCUUCGGCUGGAACUCGUCCUGUCGCUCCUGCUGUCUUUCAGCUGCCAGGGUCCAGCCCACUUCUGAUCUAGUCUAGGAUGAGCCCUCCCCAGGAUUCCACUGCUGUCUGUCUGUCUGUCUGGCCCUGACCCUACCUUCUCAGCAGGUCCUCAGUGUCCGGUCCUGACUGUCACAGCCUCUGGCCUUUCUCCUCCCAGGCAUCCCCCCAAAGGCCUGGCAGGAGGAGGUCUUGUCCCAGCCCUGACUCAUGUCCUGCUGGAGGACCCAGACAAAACACAGCAGCAGCUCAGAGACAGGAAUAGAAAUUUCAUGAAAAUCUAUGGACUUUAAAAACCUAGUGGUGCGCAGAUGGUUGGGGAUGGGAGGCGCACCGUUACUGCUACAGAGGAUUAGAGGCAGCUCUUCCGGGGCUGUCGCUGCACAGAGGGGCGCAGAGGACAGACACACAGACACUGCAGGGCUUGGGGAAAGGAGUUUUGGCUCCAGAGAGUGGUUGGGGCACACGGGCUGGGGCAAUUUGGCACCUGAACAAGGGUAGCCCAGUUCGGGAAGACUGGGCUUUAGCCUGGUGGUGGUAGGGCAAGGGGGUGCCGUGUAGGGUCCACUUCCCCUGGUCUCUGGGCUCAAACCUCCUGCUGAGCAUCUCCCCAUCUCUACCCCCAGAAACGAGUUCUUUGGGCGGGCUGUUGGGUCAUGGGACUCUGCUGGGCUGGCCCUGACAGCCAGUGCUGGAAGGAGGCGCAGAGACCUCAGAGCUGCCGAGGGAUGUGCAGGUGGGCCUGGAAGACAGAUUGCGCCUGAAGCCGAGGGUGAGGGGGUAGCAACCACAGAUAAUACAAUUUUUACAAAAAUAAUCAGACAAAAGGGCCGGGCCACACAGCCUGACCCGUAACACUGCACAGCUCCCCCCAGCCCCUCACCCUGCCUCCAGGUAGGAAGACCUGAAUUAGCCUGGGCGGAGGCUGGGGUCCACCCCAAGGGCGGGAACUCUGGUCAGGAGGCCAAAGGCUCAGAGACAGGUAGGGGACCCACCCAGAACCUCAGCUCAGGGCAGAGUGUGGGGGCGUCAGAGGCCACGUGGAGCCCAGCAGGCGUCUGGGGGCCUGACCUGGGGCCCCCCAGCAACCCCCACACCACCCACACCCCCCAGCUGCCAUCUUGGCAUCUAAAGGACCUGUAAACACUAGGCACAUGAACACGAAUGACCAUGCUAGCAGUGGUGGCCAAGGUGAUAGGUGCCACCCCUGGCCAGGGCAUGGUGGGGCAGGCGGGGACACCUAUCUGCUGUCUCCCCAGUCUCUGUGUUGGCAGCAUAGGGUGAGGGUGGGGCACUCCCCCGGCAGCUGUGCUGGCACCUGGGAGU